UGCGCUUAGAUAUUUUAGGGGUACAUGUUGUCUGUGUCGAAUGAGUUAUUAGUAUUAAUUUCUUUUGGUAUUAAAGUUAGAUUGCUUAUUAGAAGUGUGAGAUAGAAGUUAAGUAUUUUGAAUCGAUAGCUUGAAUUCAAUGAGUAAUAUAUUACUGAUCUGAGUUGUUAAAGAUGUCUGAAUAUGUGUGAGAUAUUAAAGUGUAAGUAUCGAAAGCAGCUAAAUUUUUUUUGCAUACCUUUUCAAGAGAACGAAUUCAGAUAUUCUUAGACUCAGCUUUGAUUAUUAAAGCGAUUCACUUUAAAUCUAACGAAUUCGAGUCGUUCACUUGGGACGUUAAAAUGAAGCUCAAAACGCUUCAGUCUUUCAUCGACGAAUGUCACGUCUUUUCUUUUGGAUGGAAUUCUUGCUUCUCUAAAAAUACUAUGCAAAUUGAUCAACUAGUUAAUUUGGGUAUGUCUAGUAAAAAAUAUACGGUCUGGUUUUUUUAGGACUUUUUUAAUUCUCGUCUUAUUUUAUUUAAAUAAAUUUUCGCUCUCGGACGAUUUUUUUUCAAAAAAAAAUUAAAAUUAAAAUCAGUGAUUUAAAUCAAAUAAGUUACUAGUCCUGGUGUUACAAAUAUUGACAAAAUAAUAAUA
rnacentral:lncRNA from 1 species